rnacentral:rRNA from 1 species
GACGAACGCUGGCGGCGUGCUUAACACAUGCAAGUCGAACGGAAAGGCCCUGCUUUUGUGGGGUGCUCGAGUGGCGAACGGGUGAGUAACACGUGAGUAACCUGCCCUUGACUUUGGGAUAACUUCAGGAAACUGGGGCUAAUACCGGAUAGGAGCUCCUGCUGCAUGGUGUGGGUUGGAAAGUUUCGGCGGUUGGGGAUGGACUCGCGGCUUAUCAGCUUGUUGGUGGGGUAGUGGCUUACCAAGGCUUUGACGGGUAGCCGGCCUGAGAGGGUGACCGGCGACAUUGGGACUGAGAUACGGCCCAGACUCCUACGGGAGGCAGCAGUGGGGAAUAUUGCACAAUGGGCGGAAGCCUGAUGCAGCAACGCCGCGUGCGGGAUGACGGCCUUCGGGUUGUAAACCGCUUUCGCCUGUGACGAAGCGUGAGUGACGGUAAUGGGUAAAGAAGCACCGGCUAACUACGUG